rnacentral:sRNA from 1 species
GCUUAAGGAAGUAAAAUGGCGGACCUGGCGAACGAAGCCUGCCAUUGCUCCGCCCGUCUUUGUGUUUCAGAAGGAUAAAGGACAAAAGAGGUCAGCUGGCAGCUCCAGUCCUGAAGGCGGAGAAGAUUCUGACAGAGAAGAUGGAAACUACUGCCCUCCUGUCAAGCGAGAAAGAACGUCCUCUUUAACCCAGUUCCCACCCUCACAGUCAGAGGAAAGGAGCAGUGGCUUCCGGUUGAAGCCACCAACGCUGAUCCACGGCCAAGCCCCCAGCGCAGGUCUGCCAAGCCAGAAGCCCAAGGAGCAGCAGCGGAGCGUGCUUCGCCCGGCAGUGUUACAAGCUCCGCAGCCAAAGGCGCUGUCCCAGACUGUCCCCAGCAGUGGCACCAACGGGGUCAGCCUCCCAGCAGACUGCACGGGGGCAGUGCCAGCAGCAUCCCCCGACACUGCUGCACGGCGAAGUCCUGCCGAAGCUGCCGAUGAGGUGUGUGCACUUGAGGAGAAAGAGCCCCAGAAAAAUGAGUCCAGCAAUGCCUCUGGAGAGGAAGCCUGUGAGAAAAAAGACCCCGCC